AAGUAGAAAUACAAAAAAAAUGUUAAAAUAUUUUAAUAUUUUCAAUUAACAAUUUGCGAUUGGUUAGCGCAAAUCUUCGAAUUGAAAUGAGCGGAAAGAAAUUAUUAUUCGAUGUGAUCGUCUUUUCUACCUCGUUCUACGUGUCUUACAGUCUGAUGUCGUUAUUCAUUGAGAGAUAUCGAGUGAAACGCAUAGACACCACUAAAUAGCAUGUUCAACGAAUAUGGAAAGUAUUUAACUGUUGAGGCGGGGGUGGUAGGUGAUAAAAAUAAGGCGUCGUAUACAUUAGAUCUUCGACACUCGUUAUGGGGGCCGUCCUAGGCACCAAGGAGCGCACCGUGCCAUACAAACUCCUGUUAUGACGACUACUUCCAUAUAAAUUUAUCAUUGCACUCAAUAUAAAGUCAAGGGCACAUUCACAAUUUAAAAAGUUUCACUUGAAAUGCGCGCGAAAAGAUAUUUGCACAGAUUAUACGAUGUCACACGCGAAAGUAUAUUGAAUUACUGUAAGUAGAACUUGAUUUUUAAUAUUAAAAAUAUAAGCUACUGGAAAUUUUGUUUUAAUUUUGAUAUGACUCGAGGUUUCCAAAUGAUAAAUAUUUCAUUAAUAUUUGAAUCUUUAGCACCUCGUUGUUGUCAAAAA